UGGGGAAUAUUGCACAAUGGGCGAAAGCCUGAUGCAGCGACGCCGCGUGGGGGAUGACGGCCUUCGGGUUGUAAACCCCUUUCAGUAGGGAAGAAGCGAGAGUGACGGUACCUGCAGAAGAAGCGCCGGCUAACUACGUGCCAGCAGCCGCGGUAAUACGUAGGGCGCAAGCGUUGUCCGGAAUUAUUGGGCGUAAAGAGCUUGUAGGUGGCUUGUCGCGUCUGCCGUGAAAACCCGAGGCUCAACCUCGGGCGUGCGGUGGGUACGGGCAGGCUAGAGUGUGGUAGGGGAGACUGGAACUCCUGGUGUAGCGGUGAAAUGCGCAGAUAUCAGGAAGAACACCGAUGGCGAAGGCAGGUCUCUGGGCCAUUACUGACACUGAGAAGCGAAAGCAUGGGUAGCGAACAGG
rnacentral:rRNA from 2 species